rnacentral:rRNA from 1 species
UACGAAGGGGGGCUAGCGUUGCUCGGAAUCACUGGGCGUAAAGGGUGCGUAGGCGGGUCUUUAAGUCAGGGGUGAAAUCCCCGGGCUUAACCUGGGAACUGCAUUUGUGACUGGCGGGCUAGAGUAUGGCAGAGGGGGGUAGAAUUCCACGUGUAGCAGUGAAAUGCGUAGAGAUGUGGAGGAACACCGAUGGCGAACGGCAGCCCCCUGGGUCAAGACUGACGCUCAUGCACGAAAAGCCGUGGGGGAGCAAA